rnacentral:rRNA from 1 species
UGCAGUCGNNCGGCAGCGCGGGGCAACCUGGCGGCGAGUGGCGAACGGGUGAGUAAUAUAUCGGAACGUGCCCUGGAGUGGGGGAUAACGCAGCGAAAGUUGCGCUAAUACCGCAUACGAUCUAAGGAUGAAAGCGGGGGAUUCGCAAGAACCUCGUGCUCCUGGAGCGGCCGAUAUCUGAUUAGCUAGUUGGUGGGGUAAAGGCCUACCAAGGCAUCGAUCAGUAGCUGGUCUGAGAGGACGACCAGCCACACUGGAACUGAGACACGGUCCAGACUCCUACGGGAGGCAGCAGUGGGGAAUUUUGGACAAUGGGCGCAAGCCUGAUCCAGCAAUGCCGCGUGAGUGAAGAAGGCCUUCGGGUUGUAAAGCUCUUUUGUCAGGGAAGAAACGGUGCGGGCUAAUAUCCUGUGCUAAUGACGGUACCUGAAGAAUAAGCACCGGCUAACUACGUGCCAGCAGCCGCGGUAAUACGUAGGGUGCAAGCGUUAAUCGGAAUUACUGGGCGUAAAGCGUGCGCAGGCGGUUUUGUAAGUUUGUCGUGAAAUCCCCGGGCUCAACCUGGGAAUUGCGAUGAAGACUGCAAGGCUAGAAUCUGGCAGAGGGGGGUAGAAUUCCACGUGUAGCAGUGAAAUGCGUAGAGAUGUGGAGGAACACCGAUGGCGAAGGCAGCCCCCUGGGUCAAGAUUGACGCUCAUGCACGAAAGCGUGGGGAGCAAACAGGAUUAGAUACCCUGGUAGUCCACGCCCUAAACGAUGUCUACUAGUUGUCGGGUUCUAAUUAACUUGGUAACGCAGCUAACGCGUGAAGUAGACCGCCUGGGGAGUACGGUCGCAAGAUUAAAACUCAAAGGAAUUGACGGGGACCCGCACAAGCGGUGGAUGAUGUGGAUUAAUUCGAUGCAACGCGAAAAA